GUGUCUAAGGCACAGUAUUACCUUUAAAUAGAGGAAGAGGAAAACUUCCUGCGAGAUAGAAGGUAAUGAAUUAAGAGGGGGAGAUUUUGAUUUGGCCAUUUUGACCUGACCAUUUAGACACUGUGAUUUCUACAGAGUUGGGAGAGAUUUUGAGAAAGCCCCAAUAUUGAAGUUCAUUCUUUGACAGGAGUGAGGUGGAUAUUACCAUUAUUUAGUGAUCUUUUCCUGUGUUGCAGACCCAGAACCAUUGCACCUGUCGCUAUGACUACAAAUGACUACGAUUACUCCCAUUUCACAGGGGAAGAGAGUCGAAUUAUCUUGGAGCUUCUCCUUUGAUACAACAAUUGUACAGAUUUGAUUGCCCAAAAAGGAGGUCUUAAGAAGACAGCCACCAUUGUGAACAACUGAAGCUUAAUCUCAUGGAAAAACUAUGUGCAAAGCUUGGCAGAGCUAGUGGGACACUAGACCUAAAGGGGAAUGGAGAGAUGAUAUCAGACCUAAACUUGAGGACUCCAUAAAAAUGGGAAAACUGGAAGGUGAGUCUCCAGCCCAUUUAUCCUGACAGUUCCAGACAGUGAAAAAUAAAGUCCAAAAUAAUAAAUAGUAAAAAAAAUCUAGGCAGAAAAUAAGUCA